CAAUAGCGUAUAUUAAAGUUGUUGCGGUUAAAAAGCUCGUAGUUGGAUUUCUGGUACAAUGCGCCUGGCCCGCGACCGUUAGGUCUGUGAGUGCCGGUGCGCGUUUGCCAUCCUUCUAGAAAACGUUUCUACCCUUCACUGGGCCGGACUCGCGAUCUAGAUCUUUUACUUUGAAAAAAUUAGAGUGUUUAAAGCAGGCUUUUGCUGUGAAUACAUUAGCAUGGAAUAAUAAUCUAGGACUUCGGUUCUAUUUUGUUGGUUUCUAGUACUGAAGUAAUGAUUGAUAGGGAUAGUUGGGGGUGCUAGUAUUGGCCGGCCAGAGGUGAAAUUCUUGGAUUCGGUCAAGACUAACUUAUGCGAAAGCAUUCACCAAGGAUGUCUUCUUUAA
rnacentral:rRNA from 1 species